rnacentral:lncRNA from 1 species
GUACAAAGUGAAAUCUCCCAAAAACAUUUCAAAUACGACGCAUAUAUUUUUAACUCCCCGUUUCUUAUAAGACUAUAUCAAGAAAAAACUACAAACAAUCUUAAAUGAUAGAUUAAUAUAAAGGUUUGACAAUUUUUUCACAUUGAAUGUGUCGAUUAUUUCGAAGGUACAAUAAGGUAGAACUAUUUCAACACUACGAUUCCAAAAAGUUACAUUUCUCUAUGAAAAAUCAAAAGGUCCAAACUUGAAUAAUUUCUUCGCUAGAUUCCAAAGCUAUAUUGGUCUAAGCAAAACCUAAAAGGUUAAUCAUUGUUCAAUGCUACAACGAAAGCUUGCAAUAUUACUGGUACAAAGUGAAAUCUCCCAAAAACAUUUCAAAUACGACUCAUAUAUUUUUUACUCCCCGUUUCUUAUAAAUUUAUAUCAAGAAAAAACUACAAAACAUCUUAAAUGAUACAUUAAUACAAAGGUUUGACAAUUUUUGUACAUUGAAGGUGUAGGUUACUUCGAAGGUACAAUAAGGUAGAACUAUUUCAGCACUACGAUUCCAAAAAGUUAAUUUCUCCAUAAAAAAUCAAAAGAUCCAAACUUGAAUAAUUUCUUCGCUAGAUUCCCAAAGCUAUAUUUGUCUAAGCAAAACCUAAAAGGUAAAUUUUUUUUCAAUGCUACAAGGAAAGCUUGCAAUAUUUCUGGUACAAAAAGAAAUCUUCCAAAAACAUUUCAAAUACGACGCAUACAUUUUAUACUCCCCGUUUCUUAUAAAACUAUAUCGAGAAAAAAUUACAAUAAAUCUUAAAUGAUAAUUAAUACAAAUGUUUGACAAUUUUUGCACAUUGAAGGUGUAGGUUACUUCGAAGGUACAAUAAGGUAGAACUAUUUCAACACUACGAUUCCAAAAAGUUACAUUUC